GCUAGCCUCUGGGGACAGAGAGUUACACAAAAUAUGACUCUCACCUUUAAAAGAUCAUAGUCUUUCUGGAGGUGUGGAAACUAUGAGCAGAGAGAUAGUAAUGCCAGGGACAGCAUCAGAAUUUGUAGAACUCUGUCUUAUCUGGGUGCAGAUACGUGAGCCCCAGCUACUGUUCCAGCACCGUGUCUGCCUGCCUUCUUCCAUGUUUCCUGCCAUGAUGGUCAUGGACUCUGAAACUGAUUUCUACAGAUUGAGAACCGUCUAUUAGGCUCAGAUGAAAACUAUCGUCGCUGAAAGUUCUCAUUUGGAAUCGUUCAGUCAUGCCUA
rnacentral:lncRNA from 1 species